rnacentral:rRNA from 1 species
UACGUAGGAGCCAAGCGUUGUCCGGAUUGACUGGGCGUAAAGCGCACGUAGGCGGCCUGUUAAGUCGGAUGUGAAAGCCCCGGGCUCAACCCGGGAAGUGCAUUCGAAACUGGCGGGCUUGAAUAUGGAAGAGGGUCGCGGAAUUCCCGGUGUAGAGGUGAAAUUCGUAGAUAUCGGGAGGAACACCAGUGGCGAAGGCGGCGACCUGGGCCAAUAUUGACGCUGAGGUGCGAAAGCGUGGGGAGCAAACAGG